UCCGUGCUGGAGGGGAUGGCACACAAUGGGGUGGCUGUGAUGAAACUGCUCAGCAGUGCCUGAGCCCUGGGAGCUGUCCUGCCUCAGGGGUGUCCAGGGCAGCACUCCCAACGUUCCUCUUUGAGAAUUCAGGGAUGAAAUGUUCGGGAGGGGAGGGACGUGGUCACAGCAGUGAACAUGGCCCAUCAGAGACUCGGUAAUGCAGCUGCUUGUACCUUUUCCCAAAGAGCGUGGCAGCAGAACUGGUGGUGAAGACAGGAGAAAUAUGAAAUAUGGCACAGGAGAUUUUACUUAUCUUGCACCUGCUAAGCACAAGGAGCCAAAUCUUCAGCUGAUGUCAACCAACUGAAAUCUCUGCCUGUAGAGGAGUGACACUGAUUUACACCAGCCAGGAAUCUGGCUGGGGAUGUUACUGACUUGGCAUUAUGGACACAGCAGCUGGUGCUGACUUGUUAAGAACAAAGGACCACAUGCCAAAAAGCCCAUUAAAAGGAGCUCCUUUGA